rnacentral:rRNA from 1 species
UAGGUAGGCGUCUUAAUAAGUCGGGUGUGAAAGCCCUUGGCUCAACCAAGGAAGAGCACUCGAAACUGUUAGGAUUGAGCACGGAAGAGGAGAGCGGAAUUCCCGGUGUAAGGGUGACAUCUGUAGAGAUCGGGAGGAACACCAGUGGCGAAAGCGGCUCUCUGGUCCAGUGCUGACGCUGAACUACGAAAGCUAGGGGAGCAAACAGGAUUAGAUACCCUGGUAGUCC